rnacentral:rRNA from 1 species
UGGGGAAUAUUGCACAAUGGAGGGAACUCUGAUGCAGCGACGCCGCGUGAGUGAUGAAGGAAUUCGUUUCGUAAAACUCUGUUCUAUGGGAAGAAAAGGACUGUACCAUAGGAGAAAGCUCCGGCUAAAUACGUGCCAGCAGCCGCGGUAAUACGUAUGGAGCGAGCGUUGUCCGGAAUUAUUGGGCGUAAAGGGUGCGCAGGCGGCUUUACAAGUUGGAUGUGAAAUAUUGUGGCUCAACCACAAACGUGCAUCCAAAGCUGCAAAGCUGGAGUUAAGGAGAGGUAAGUGGAAUUCCUGGUGUAGCGGUGGAAUGCGUAGAUAUCAGGAGGAAUACCGGUGGCGAAGGCGACUUACUGGACUUAAACUGACGCUCAGGCACGAAAGCGUGGGGAGCAAACAGG